rnacentral:lncRNA from 1 species
UUCUAGCUACACAGCAAUGAAGACUGAAAUAAGUGAGCUAUUGUCAUGUGGGUACUGAUCAUUCCUCAGUAGAUCUGCUAGAGGCAACAUACUAGAACUGACAAAAUUAUCCUCUUUUUAUUUUAUGCUAAAAAUAUUUUAAAGGUAAUAUAUUUUAAAGUAAGAGAUUGUUCAGAGGCCAUUAAAAAGAUUUGUUUAAUUGCAAGAAACAUCUACCCAAACUUUAGCACAUUUACUUUUGUUAUGGAGCAGUUGAAAAAUAAAUUGUCACUUUCACUGUAAGUAUCCUGGUCAGAUUUGCUAUCAUCAUUUGUGUGCUGUUUCCAUAAUGAUUUCCUUUUAGUCAGGUAGGUAGGUAGUUAUUUUUAGCCAAUUUCCAUAUUUUUUUCCAUCAUACAAAAUACUUGGUUCUUCUUUUCAGCUAAACAUACCAUGCCUGUACAGGAGAUGAAUGGCAUUUCACAACCGGGGUAGUAGGAAGUUUCUUUAUAUAUUUUGUGAUCCAGAUACUUUGAGGAGGAAUUCAUCUGUUUUUACCUACAAGCUUCUUCUGAACUGUUUGUGUAAUGUUUCCAACCAGUCACGCCCAGCAGAGAUCACAGCAAAGACAACAAAUGCUGCAAGACUGACAGAAGAAGUGAAGUUAGUCAAGUAGUGACUGUCAGGAAAAACUGAAGUCUACAGAAGAAUGUACAGACACUGAUGCCCAGAAGACUGCUUUGUGCAUGAUGGCAGAGGCUGCUGUUAGAGCAACACCACUUUUUUUGUUAAAGGUAAUUAUGUAUCAGUGAAAAAAAUGACAGUUUUUUUUCUUUUUUUUGUAUUUCACCUAACAAUUACUGCCAUUUUGCAACAGACAAAUACAGCCCCCUGAGUUUAGUUAGUCACUUUGCUUUUUGCAGCCUGGUUAAUUUAACACUCUUGCUUUCUCUUGCAAGCCAACUCUGGCUAAUGUUUUCUUUGAAGUUAAAUUAAAUACUUAGAGAUUUCUGAACCUGUAUAGUUAAUUUAAGUAAACUUACGUGUUUCCAUAUUUCUCCAGUCCUCUCAAUUACAACAGUUUGUGAUUUAUUGACCGGUGAUGUAAUCUUGUAGUCAUCAGACAAGAGACCUAGAAUUGGAUACUGAUUCCUGUACCUGUAUUAAAAGAGUUGCAAUCCUGUAAAAUAUAACACUAAAAUCUGCAUACCUAUAUCCAAAUCAUGAACUUUAUAAUUCUUCUAGUUUAGUUUUUAAUUUAAUUUAGUUAUCAAUCCCCAAAUAUUUUUACUAGUAACUAAAAAACUAAUACUGUCAUUUAAAUAUCAGUUUGACAUACUGGUUACUCUCCAAUUGCUGUUACAAUGCUUAGUAGGAAUAUCUGUACUGAAUCCAUCCUAGAUAGGUUUUCCUAGUUUGACUUUUUCUCCUAAAAGCUGAGUAGAUAGUGUUAAGAAAUUUGAAGGAUGUAAGGACUUAAUUAACAGAAGCUACACAAUGGAAAUCAAAAGAAUGUAUUUUUAGGAAAAGUGAAUAGCUACAUUACUUCUUAGUGAUGAUGGCUGUUACACCAGGGGACUGACUGCAUGAUAAUCUCUCUUGCUUCAAUCUGAAGAGGUCCUGAGAAAACCAAAAAUAAACAUUCAAAUGAAGUAAUAUUUGCUAAUUGA